ACUGUUCUUUCUUAGGGUGUAGCUGCUUCUGUCCCUCAUUGAUCAAUUGAAGCUGAGUUAGAUCUUUAUCGAAGAGAUCCACUUCCAUCAGAAUACAUCCUCAAACAGUAUCGUUGUUGAGGUAUAUAAUGAUCUCCUGGUUCUGCUCAUUUCACUCAGCAUCAGUUCAUGACUCUGCCAGGUUACGGGGAGAGAUGUUGGCUGGGUGCUCCAUCCUGGGCUGCUUGAUAUUUUAUUAAUGGCUUGAGCAUGAAAAGAAAGAGAAAGAGAGUCCACUCAACAUUUCUGACAGCAAAGCUAGGAGAGAGAGAGAAGAAUUGGAUGACAGUCAGGAUUAAAACAAAUUCUGACACUGAAGAGAGAGACCUGGCCUGAAUAUCAUAAAAUGAAGUUCCAUGUGUAUUGGAGAGACUUGAAUGAGCUGAUGUAAGAGAAGGGAAUAAACCCAGAAAGACCAUUUAUCUCAUAACAAAAACAUCUGGAAGAGGAAAGAGAUCUGAUCCCUGCAAUGAACAGUGAAGGAUUGAGCUGUGCUGUCAAGAGGAAGUAGACAUGGGAGAUCGUUUUAGUGGAGCUGAGAAUCCCAGCCAGCAAUCCAGGAUGCUCAAGGGACUUCAGGAAAUCACCACUGAUGCAUAAAUUUUUUCUCCUGGAUUUAUAUUCCAAGUUGGUUAUUUUUCCAAUGAGGUAUUUUACAUUAAAAAAAAAAAAUCUGUUUCUUCAUCUCUCAUUGAGUCAUUUGCUUCCACUUGGCCAAUUUUAAUUCUUAAUGGAUUUCUAUUUUCUAUUUGGCCCAUUCCACUUUUAAAGGAGUGGUUUUAUUUAGUGGAUUUCCCCACUCCUAUUGCCAAUUGUUUUUUAAGCAGUUGGUUUUUUCCAGUAUUUCUUUUCCUUUUUGCCAAAUCUAUUUUUGAAGUUGGUUGCUUCAGUGUAUUUUUGUACUUUUCCAAGCUAUUGACUCCCCUCCCAUCAUUGUUCUAUGUAUCUCCCAUUCCCUCCCACCCCCACCAUUUUUCUUUGAACACUCUUACUUGAUUUCAGAAAUUCUAUGACGUCUUCCAAGAGAACUGCUUGAGCCUGAGACCAAUUUAUAUUCCCCUUUGAGGAUGUACAUGUGUAUAUUUUGCCACUACUGUCCCCUUCUGCGUUUGUGAUCUCAUCUUCCCUGUCACCAAGUAGCUUUCUACAGUCAGGAAUCUUUGGGCUUAAUUUAUAAAGUUGAGCUCUGAUUGUGGGGCUUGGGGGAGAUUGUCCCAAACUUCUUUUGGAGGGGCACAGUGUCCUGUCACAGGCCCACAGGGGUCUCUCAUUGGCUUAUCUCACUGGGCCCAGAAGUAAUGGCACCUUGCUCACUGCACUGAGUUGGCCUGGCCUGUCGUGCCAGGAUUCAGAGGAUCAGAUUUGGCUUUUUAACUAGGGCUGGAGGGCUCAUAACUAGCCUUCACAGCCACUGGUAAGAGGCUUCAGCUGCUGAUCUUUGCACAGAUAAGAGCCUCAGACUAGUUUGCCAGCACUGUCCCUGUGCUCCCCUUGCACCCAAGGUAGACAGACCUUUUCUGAAGCACUUCCACAUUAUCUUCAGCAGAAAAGUUGCUUCAUUCUGAGGUUUUUUGUGGGUUCAGUCAUGCCAGAAUUCAUUUAAAGACUUAUUUUGUGGUUGAUUUUGAGGGAAACUAGGGAAAAGCACAGAAACUUUUCUGGCUUCUCUCCUCCAUGACAGUUCUAACUCUGAUCACGUUCAAUUCAUUUUUUUUUGUUACAUUAUAUGAGGUCACAUGGAGAAUCCCACUUUUUUUUUUUUUUACACUUACCGGAGACGUAAGUAAUUUUACUUUUUUGAGAUUGCCUUUACUGUUCAUAGUUAUAAAUAUACUUUAUUUAUGGUCUGUAUGUUUUCAAGUGGGUGGAAGUGUUCCCAUACCAUACUGACAUUGCUUUUGGGUAGCCAAAAUCCUCUGAGAACAAAGUGAUUCUAUUAUGGAGCUUCAUAAGGAAAUAUAUACUUAUCCUGAGAGAGGUACCCAUUUCCCAGGAGCUUCAUUGGCUAAGCUGCUUUCAUCCUGGCGAAUCCUCCGAGUUCUCUCUCUUCCCAGAGAACUGCUCCACUGAAGUUCCUCUCUGCUUACAGUUGUCCAUCAGAGGCUUGCUUUCCUGCCCAUUGUGGCCCUAUUGCCAUCAGUUGGAUUCCUGGCUGGUACUGCAGCCACUUUGACAUGCUGUGGCCCUCUGAUAGGACCCUCUCAGCAGAACUAGCCAUGGAUUAGCUGCCAAAAGCUGGUUGAUUCACUUCUCGUGGUUUUGUAAAAUCAUUGGGUGCUGGAAGACACACAAGAGGACUCGGUUGCUUGGACACAGCAGAGCACUUUCUUCUUCCUGACACCGCCCCAAAGCUGCACCCCAGGAAAUGAAGAUACGCAGUUUCAGUUAUCCCGGGAAACGACCUUACCCAAAGAGAGCAGGUUCUGGACAUUCUCCAGCAUGACCUCCUUGCACAACUCCUUCUGGGGAGGGUCUGAGCAGCCCCACUCCUCCUGGGUGAAGUCCACAGCCCCAUCGCUGAAUGUCACCAAGUCCUAGAACACCAGAGUCAUGAGGUGUAGAGUUCAAAGUCGCUUUAGAAUUCUACAGUCCAACCCUCUCCAAUUUGCAGGAGGAAACUGAGCAGAGAAGGGAUUUGCUCAAAGCUCAUGCCAUUUCUGAGUCACAGUCAGCUCCUGGAACACGACCAUUAAGAGUCAUAUUGUUUUUAGAAAAGCAUUUUAUAGAAUCAGUUGGAAUAAAGCUGAGAAAUGUCUUA